CGUCCAUAGAAAUAAGUAUGUCGGUGAUUAUUCCAGGCAUGGACGGCAGAGCCCAGUUGGAGACUUUCCACGACGGCACAUCGAUAACUUUAUCCGCCGCCCAUUUACCGUCUUCCAACUGAUGAAAACUACAAGUAACGUUGGCGGUCAAAGCGCAGCCCACGAAUCCAGUUGUGGCAGUCGGUUCGUGAAGGAAACGAAUUUCAAGUGGCAUCAAACCCUCACUACCCAAGUCCAAGGUCUGAAUUUUCUUAUGCUCUUUCCAGUCCCACACAUGCAGAGAUUGGCCAUACAUGCCUAAAUUUCAGAAAACACGUGAUCCAAGGAAAAUCCAGUGCAAAAAGCCGACGGAGAACCCCACUCGGAAGAGAUCUAACACACAACAUUAAAAAAAUUAUUGUACAUCGUACAUUUAGAAAGCUAAAAAAAUAAAGCUUUACGAACCAUGACAUUAUGAC